GUACUGGUGUAACACAAUGAUAGCUCGCAGGUCAGUUUUCAGUUAAUUAAUCAUUGUGUUUAUUUUAUCUGUUAUUGAUUUUGGUAGAUAAUCCUGAUAAUUCUUACAAAUGAUACGCAUUCUGUUUACAUGCGUAGGUCAUUGUUGGUAUUUACUACUCAAUCAAAUUUCGUAACAUCGGAGUGUUUUAUCCAUUACGUUUUGGCCUAAAUGACUUUGUUUGCUAUUAUUACCGAUCAGAUAUUGCGAAAUUCUCAAAAGAAAUUGAUUUGGUCAGCCUUAAUUACUUUACUUUUGUUUUCGAUGGAAUUUUCAUUAAUUGGCCAGAAAUGUUAAUUACUUUGUUUACCUGUUCAGCAUAUUGUUGUUGUUUACAAUUUAUACAAAAUGAAUCACCGUUGAAUGUUUUAUCUAUUAGAUUUGACCCUAAUUAUUUUGUUUGUUUCGGUAACAGUCAUUUAUUUACCAAAAUACACAAUGGUGAUUGAUUCCACAUCUGUUGUUUACUAUUAUAUGAGUACAUAAUGGACGUUUUGAUUGACAUGUUUUGAAAUUGCUUCGAACAUUUUGAAAUACUUGUAAACAUGUUAUUGCGUUGUAGUUCGUAAAAAAGGUAUAACUACUCAGAGGAUUAAGAGAAGAUAGGAGAAUGGGGAGAGAAGGACUGAGUCAAGAAAAGAGAGGACGGAGUUAAGAAGAGAGAGACAAAAUCAGGAAGUUAGAAAUGUUUUACAAAAAUGGGAUCGGAUAAUUGGCAGUUCGGAUCGGUUCAGAUCAGCUCGGUUAAGUUCGAAUUUUGGGCUCGGGUUUAAGAGCGGGUUAAAAAUAAAUGUGGAAGUUUUAGAACUGACUAUUAUGUUAUAGAACUUUUGGACUUAAGAAUAAAAGUUAAUUAAAAGUUUGACGCGCGCGGGAAAAUACUAUUUAAAAAGUUGAUGUAUUUAUACCUGAAUUGACUGUUAGUAUAGUUGACGUCUGUAUAACCUUGUAAAUAAAACCGAGUGUGAAAAAACUGCUGACUUUCUAAAUCUAUGCAACCAGUGGUGGGGGUGUUACACUGGUAUGCUUUAUAACCUUGACCAGGAGAGUGCAUUUUGCUCCCAAGAAUUUGGUCUAUGGAGCACUUGCACUUUAGCGGUCCCUAUAAUAAUAGUAGUUAAAAAUGUCAUGAAAAAUAAAAGUUAUACGGGGUGACUUUAUUUUUAGAUGUUUGGGGGCUGCUGCCCCACACUCCCGCUUUCUCCAACGCCACAAUUUACUGCGCAUACGUAUCGUAAACUUCCAGGGACCGCUAAAGUGCAUUGUACUCUAAGAUAUUGGUAUGUAUUAAAGUCAUCAUGACAAUUAAAUGAAAUUUUAAAAUUUUGUGCAUUUUGUGAAGUAGGCUAAAAUUGCCAUAUUUUUAAUAUUAAAGAUAUCAUAGCAUUUAGAUUGCAUUUUGUGAAGAUUUAUGUAAAAAUACUAGUAUGUAUUACAGUCUUCAUUGCACUUAUAUUGCAUUUUGAGAAGAUGGCUAAUUAACUGUGUAAAAAUACUGGUAUGUGUUGAGGAUAUCGCGGCAAUUCGAUUGCAAUUGAUGCAGCAGCCUGAAGAUUAAAGUGAAAAUACUGGUAUGUAAUACAGCCACAGGUGCCGUUAGAUUGCAUUAUGUGCAAUGGGCAAUAUACUGGUAUGUUUCAUAUGAUAGUCAUCAUUGCAACUAGAUUCAUUCUGCGAAGUAGGCUAAAGAUUUAUAUAAAGAUACAGGUAUGUAGUACAGUCAUUUUUGUCAUUAGAUUGCAUUUUGUGCUGUUGGCUAAAUGUUUCAUAUCAUAGUCACCGUGGCCAGUAGAUUUCAUUUUGUGAAGUGAGCUUAACAUUUAUUUGAAAAUACUAAUAUGUAUUAUCGUCAUCAUGACAAGUGGAUUGCUUCUUGUGAAGCUGGUUAAAGAUGUAUGAAAAUUAUUUGUAUGUUUGAUGGUCAUUUUGGCAUUUAGAUCUCAUUUUAAGUAGGUCUACUUUCAUUAUGAUUCAUGUUUUCAGUUGUCAUUUAGAACUGAUGUCUCCCCAAAAUUAAGGGAGAGACAUUUUGUCUUUUGUGCAGUCUACUCAAACUGAAAAUUGGUAAGAUGUAUAUUUUACCCCUUAAACGAUUUUCACAAAUGUUUGACAUAAUGAGAAUAUAAUUAUCGGUCGUGUCGGUCAAGUCUAAGAUCACACAGAGAGAUCAAAGGGCAAAUAUAGACAGUAUUUUGUUUCCGCUCAGUAUCUAUAUAUCUUUUCGAAGGAUCUUUUUAUCCGUUGAGUAACUUGCUUAUUAUUUUAUUUGACACAAAAUAUUUACCAAAUCAGAAAAAACGAGACGAUACUGCUGACGCAACUUUCAGUCAUUUUAAUUUAAGAUCAAGACUGAGUGAGCCCAACGGCCAAAAAGGCAGUACAGUGUAUAAUAUGUUCUCUCCACAUCUUUUAGGCCACUUUAAGGUCUGUCAAAUAUCAUGGCACAAUGGUUUGUAACAACAAGACGAUAUGCAGAAUGCAGCUCCACUGUACGAUCCCAUGAAGUGGUGUUACGAAGGACUAGCUUGCUCCAUGCCCCUAUAGACAACCUUCCUUCGUUAAUCAAAGUCAAUGGACUUUAGUCGUCAAAUCGUCCAAAGGAACAUUCCAGUCUUCCUGCUGGGAUAACUUUGCGAGUAAAAAUAAAGCAAGUAGAACCAUCAUACAGGGACAAGGAGAAAUUAUGGCCACUCGGCAGUGGUAUCAUUCUAAUGUUUUUGUUCAUGAACGUUGUCGUAUCAAAAUAAUUAUUUUAAAGUGAUUUUUCCAUCGUGCUUUUCCUGUGUUACUGUAGUGUAAAAUAUGUAAAGCUUCUGCAAAUGUGUAUACUCAUGUGGCUAAUCUUCCUGUUUUAAAUUUCGUAGUGCCACUUUUUAUUGGUUUUGAGCUCUUAGUUUAUCCACACGUCUCUUUCAUUGUGUAUACCGACCUAUGCUAGUGACUAUGUGACACAUGAAAGAAGACGUACACAAUUUUAUAGUAAAUGUUUGUAAUAAACACCAGUAAAUCAGGGUUUAAAAGUAUUCUUAAAAUGACAAGAGUAGAUUUCCUAUCAAUUGGAAUACGUUAUAAUUUUUAAUAAGACUUUCACAAUGUAAUUUUCUAUGUUCUUUAUUCAAUUAAAGUGAUGUUUUCACUCAUAUUUGACUUUUGGAACCACGAUAUCCUGGUAUCAUGAGCAAAAGCUUAGAGUAACGGACAGAUGUUCUAACGAAAUGAUGCCUACCAGCAGUACAGCAGACCCCCACUGGUGUGGGAUAAUCAUAGUAUGUAACCACAACCUUUGAACGUUUAAAACAUAACACAAAAACAUUUGACGCAAACAUCUACAAGAAGACAUAUAAUUCCCAUUUUUGAGGAAACAUUUACAAAAGUAUAUAGCUCUAAUUUUUGACAAAAUCUAUCACAUUGAAUUGCAAGUUACCUAUUUAUGAACGUACGAAGAUUUAUAAAAUCCAAUGUGCAUGAAACGUUCAAGUAUAAAUAUUUUCAGACUU